rnacentral:rRNA from 1 species
UACGUAGGGGGCAAGCGUUGUCCGGAUUUAUUGGGCGUAAAGAGCGUGUAGGCGGCCACACAGGUCAGCUGUGAAAACUCGAGGCUCAACCUCGAGACGUCGGUUGAAACCGUAUGGCUAGAGUCCGGAAGAGGAGAGUGGAAUUCCCGGUGUAGCGGUGAAAUGCGCAGAUAUCGGGAAGAACACCCGUGCGAAGGCGGCUCUCUGGGACGGUACUGACGCUGAGACGCGGAAAGCGUGGGGAGCGAACAGG